rnacentral:other from 1 species
AUCCUGCCGUGUUCGAUAAUCAUUAGCAUUUAUGACCCAACACACUAUUUAUAGGGAUUUGCCUUGGGCGGCGGAUUGCAGACCUCCCGCGCAGCGGACGAAGGGAGCGUGAACCCGAACAGACAUCACCCACCUGUUUACACGCAGGUUAUUAUCUGCAGUGAACCGGCACGGCGGGAC